GGAAGGUGCAAGCGUUAAUCGGAAUCACUGGGGCGUAAAGCGCGCGUAGGCGGUUAGAUAAGUUGGGUGUGAAAGCCCCGGGGCUCAACCUGGGGAACUGCAUUCGAUACUGUCUGACUAGAGUGUGAUAGAGGGAGGCGGAAUUCCGCAUGUAGCGGUGAAAUGCGUAGAGAUGCGGAGGAACACCAAUGGCGAAGGCAGCCUCCUGGAUUAACACUGACGCUGAGGCGCGAAAGCGUGGGGAGCAAACAGGAUUAGAUACCCUGGUAGUCCACGCCGUAAACGAUGUCAACUAGCCGUUGGGAGCACUUUGGCUCUUGGUGGCGCAGCUAACGCGAUAAGUUGACCGCCUGGGGAGUACGGUCGCAAGAUUA
rnacentral:rRNA from 1 species